rnacentral:rRNA from 1 species
CCUUGAAGAUCGGAGUGCUUGCACUCUGUGAAACAAGAUACAGGCUAGCGGCGGACGGGUGAGUAACACGUGGGUAACCUGCCCAAGAGAUCGGGAUAACACCUGGAAACAGAUGCUAAUACCGGAUAACAACAGAUGAUGCCUAUCAACUGUUUAAAAGAUGGUUCUGCUAUCACUCUUGGAUGGACCUGCGGUGCAUUAGCUAGUUGGUAGGGUAACGGCCUACCAAGGCGAUGAUGCAUAGCCGAGUUGAGAGACUGAUCGGCCACAUUGGGACUGAGACACGGCCCAAACUCCUACGGGAGGCAGCAGUAGGGAAUCUUCCACAAUGGACGCAAGUCUGAUGGAGCAACGCCGCGUGAGUGAAGAAGGGCUUCGGCUCGUAAAGCUCUGUUGUUGGUGAAGAAGGACAGGGGUAGUAACUGACCUUUGUUUGACGGUAAUCAAUUAGAAAGUCACGGCUAACUACGUGCCAGCAGCCGCGGUAAUACGUAGGUGGCAAGCGUUGUCCGGAUUUAUUGGGCGUAAAGCGAGUGCAGGCGGCUCGAUAAGUCUGAUGUGAAAGCCUUCGGCUCAACCGGAGAAUUGCAUCAGAAACUGUCGAGCUUGAGUACAGAAGAGGAGAGUGGAACUCCAUGUGUAGCGGUGAAAUGCGUAGAUAUAUGGAAGAACACCGGUGGCGAAAGCGGCUCUCUGGUCUGUUACUGA